rnacentral:rRNA from 1 species
UACAGAGGGUGCAAGCGUUAAUCGGAAUUACUGGGCGUAAAGCGUGCGUAGACGGUUGCGUAAGUCAGAUGUGAAAGCCCCGGGCUCAACCUGGGAAUUGCAUUUGAGACUGCGUAGCUAGGGUGCGGAAGAGGGAAGCGGAAUUUCCGGUGUAGCGGUGAAAUGCGUAGAUAUCGGAAGGAACACCAGUGGCGAAGGCGGCUCACUGGCUCAUUACUGACGCUCAGGCGCGAUAGCGUGGGGAUCAAACAGG